GAAGAAAUGAAAGCAUUGUAUUAGGACAGUAUUAAACCUCUUCGGCAAAGAGAAGCCCUUUAUAGUCUAACUCAAGCAAUAAUUGCAGGUAACUUCAAGCAAGAGCAGCAGAGAUGAUGGCAACAAGCCGGCAUGACAAGAGAUGCCCACUAAUCACUAUCAUCAUCAGAAAUCCUCCAACGUCAAAGAGUCAUAACUCAACACGAUGACAUGAUGGUGUAACUAGAUUAUGUGUCACAAUAAAACAUAAUUACUUCAUCUUAAAUCAAAGGAUUACAUUUGCUUAAAAUGCAUAAACUGUCAGAAAAUAAUCUAAUUCUUAUCACUGGUAAACAGCAAGUAGGAGUUGACUACUCUUCGUGCCCAGCUGACAAAAAACAACAACAUAUAUGUUAAAAUGGCUGUAGCUAUGAACUUCAUGUUUAUUUUCUUUCUGAAAACCCGAGUACAUAGUCAUCA